rnacentral:rRNA from 1 species
GCCAUAAACUCCGCCUACAAACUCAACAUAUAAUAAACAACAUAAAACAUUUAAACAGUCUAGUAGAGGUGAUCGAAAACCUUAAUAAGAGCCACAUAUACAGUACCGCAAGGGAAAAGUGAAAUAGAAGUUAAAUAAACUAAAAGCCCAUAAAAGCAGAGAUUAACGCUCG